rnacentral:rRNA from 1 species
GGUUAAGCGACUAAGCGUACACGGUGGAUGCCCUGGCAGUCAGAGGCGAUGAAGGACGUGCUAAUCUGCGAAAAGCGCCGGCGAGGUGAUAUGAACCCUUGACCCGGCGAUGUCCGAAUGGGGAAACCCAGUGUGUUCCGACACACUAUCGUUAACUGAAUACAUAGGUUAACGAGGCGAACCGGGGGAACUGAAACAUCUAAGUACCCCGAGGAAAAGAAAUCAACCGAGAUUCCCCCAGUAGCGGCGAGCGAACGGGGAGCAGCCCGGAGUCUGAAUCAGCUUGUGUGUUAGUGGAACGGUCUGGAAAGUCCGACGGUACAGGGUGAUAGUCCCGUACACGAAAACACACUUGCUGUGAACUCGAAGAGUAGGGCGGGACACGUGGUAUCCUGUCUGAAUAUGGGGGGACCAUCCUCCAAGGCUAAAUACUCCUGACUGACCGAUAGUGAACCAGUACCGUGAGGGAAAGGCGAAAAGAACCCCGGCGAGGGGAGUGAAAAAGAACCUGAAACCGUGUACGUACAAGCAGU